GGAAGUGUGCCCGAAAUAGGGAACUCCUUGAUAGGGAGAACCACGAGGGUU
rnacentral:tRNA from 1 species